GAUGAACGCUGGCGGCGUGCCUAAUACAUGCAAGUCGAGCGAACAGAUGAGGAGCUUGCUCCUCUGACGUUAGCGGCGGACGGGUGAGUAACACGUGGAUAACCUACCUAUAAGACUGGGAUAACUUCGGGAAACCGGAGCUAAUACCGGAUAAUAUAUUGAACCGCAUGGUUCAAUAGUGAAAGACGGUUUUGCUGUCACUUAUAGAUGGAUCCGCGCCGCAUUAGCUAGUUGGUAAGGUAACGGCUUACCAAGGCAACGAUGCGUAGCCGACCUGAGAGGGUGAUCGGCCACACUGGAACUGAGACACGGUCCAGACUCCUACGGGAGGCAGCAGUAGGGAAUCUUCCGCAAUGGGCGAAAGCCUGACGGAACAACGCCGCGUGAGUGAUGAAGGCCUUCGGAUCGUAAAACUCUGUUAUUAGGGAAGAACAAAUGUGUAAGUAACUAUGCACGUCUUGACGGUACCUAAUCAGAAAGCCACGGCUAACUACGUG
rnacentral:rRNA from 1 species